rnacentral:rRNA from 1 species
CCUACGGGCGGCAGCAGUGGGGAAUAUUGGACAAUGGGCGAAAGCCUGAUCCAGCCAUGCCGCGUGUGUGAAGAAGGCCUUCGGGUUGUAAAGCACUUUCAGUGGGGAAGAAAGCCUUGGGGCUAAUACCCUCGAGGAAGGACAUCACCCACAGAAGAAGCACCGGCUAACUCCGUGCCAGCAGCCGCGGUAAUACGGAGGGUGCGAGCGUUAAUCGGAAUUACUGGGCGUAAAGCGCGCGUAGGCGGUCUGAUAAGCCGGUUGUGAAAGCCCCGGGCUCAACCUGGGAACGGCAUCCGGAACUGUCAGGCUAGAGUGCAGGAGAGGAAGGUAGAAUUCCCGGUGUAGCGGUGAAAUGCGUAGAGAUCGGGAGGAAUACCAGUGGCGUAGGCGGCCUUCUGGACUGACACUGACGCUGAGGUGCGAAAGCGUGGGUAGCAAACAGGAUUAGAUACCCGUGUAGUC